rnacentral:rRNA from 1 species
AAACCAACAGGGAUUGCCUUAGUAGCGGCGAGUGAAGCGGCAAAAGCUCAAAUUUGAAAUCUGGCACCUUCGGUGUCCGAGUUGUAAUUUGAAGAUUGUAACCUUGGGGUUGGCUCUUGUCUAUGUUUCUUGGAACAGGACGUCACAGAGGGUGAGAAUCCCGUGCGAUGAGAUGCCCAAUCCUAUGUAAGGUGCUUUCGAAGAGUCGAGUUGUUUGGGAAUGCAGCUCUAAGUGGGUGGUAAAUUCCAUCUAAAGCUAAAUAUUGGCGAGAGACCGAUAGCGAACAAGUACAGUGAUGGAAAGAUGAAAAGAACUUUGAAAAGAGAGUGAAAAAGUACGUGAAAUUGUUGAAAGGGAAGGGUUUGAGAUCAGACUCGAUAUUUUGUGAGCCUUGCCUUCGUGGCGGGGUGACCCGCAGCUUAUCGGGCCAGCAUCGGUUUGGGCGGUAGGAUAAUGGCGUAGGAAUGUGACUUUGCUUCGGUGAAGUGUUAUAGCCUGCGUUGAUGCUGCCUGCCU